CGUAGGUGGCGAGCGUUAUCCGGAUUUAUUGGGUUUUAAAAGGGUGCGUAGGCGGCUUAAUAAGUCGGUGGUUAAAAAGUAGCAGCUUAACUGUUUUACAUGCCAUCGAUACUGUUGAGCUUGAGAUAUUUGGAGGCAGCUAGAAUUUUCCGGUGUAGCGGUGAAAUGCAUAGAUACCGGAAGGAAUACCAAUUGCGAAGGCAGGUUGCUACGAAUAAACUGACGCUGAUGCACGAAAGCGUGGGGGAUCAAACAGGAUU
rnacentral:rRNA from 1 species